GACGAACCGUGCGAACGUUGUUCGGAAUCACUGGGCUUAAAGGGCGCGUAGGCGGGCUCACAAGUCAGGGGUGAAAUCCCACGGCUCAACCGUGGAAGUGCCUUUGAUACUGUGGGUCUUGAGGGAGGUAGGGGCGUGCGGAACUUCCGGUGGAGCGGUGAAAUUCGUAGAUAUUCGCAAGAACACCAGUGGCGAAGGCGGCUUCCUGGACCUUUGCUGACGCUAAGGCGCGAAAGCGUGGGUAGCGAUCCGG
rnacentral:rRNA from 1 species